GAUGAACGCUGGCGGCGUGCCUAAUACAUGCAAGUCGAGCGAACAGACGAGGAGCUUGCUCCUCUGACGUUAGCGGCGGACGGGUGAGUAACACGUGGAUAACCUACCUAUAAGACUGGGAUAACUUCGGGAAACCGGAGCUAAUACCGGAUAAUAUAUUGAACCGCAUGGUUCAAUAGUGAGAGACGGUUUUGCUGUCACUUAUAGAUGGAUCCGCGCCGCAUUAGCUAGUUGGUAAGGUAACGGCUUACCAAGGCAACGAUGCGUAGCCGACCUGAGAGGGUGAUCGGCCACACUGGAACUGAGACCCGGUCCAGACUCCUACGGGAGGCAGCAGUAGGGAAUCUUCCGCAAUGGGCGAAAGCCUGACGGAGCAACGCCGCGUGAGUGAUGAAGGUCUUCGGAUCGUAAAACUCUGUUAUUAGGGAAGAACAAAUGUGUAAGUAACUAUGCACGUCUUGACGGUACCUAAUCAGAAAGCCACGGCUAACUACGUG
rnacentral:rRNA from 1 species